CCUCACACCCUCACCGUCUAGUCCAGUGCAUCUAAGCCGAGAACAGAGCACCAUCGAGGGGUGUAACUGGCUGUCAACAGAGCUCCUACGGCAGUCAUGGCGGCGCCGUUAGCCCACUUCGACGAGGACUGGCAGGAUUUUAACGAGUUCAAGCCGUCCUCGGCGUCGGCCGAGGAGCUGGAUCAGCUGAACUCAAACGUGGGCGACCCCUCGUCAGGCCUAGACGAUUUCUCAGACCUGGACAACAGCUUCUCCGGGGAGAUCUGCAGCUUCAAAUCGAUGGAGGACCUAGUCCAGGACUUCGACGAGAAGCUGACAGUGUGUUUCCGAAACUACAACACCACGACGGAAAACAUAGCGCCCAUUAAACCUAUCUCAGAGGAUAAUUACUUGAAGGACGACGAGGUGUGGAACGCUCUCACGGAUAAUUAUGGCAACGUGAUGGCGGUGGACUGGAAGACAUCACACACUCGCUCACUACACCUGCCCACCCUCAACAUCACUGAGCACGAGAAGUUGGAUAACCAGUCUCUGGAUCUGUCUGACGACGAGGAGCUCAGGGAGCAGAUGGAUAUGCACUCCAUCAUCGUCUCCUGCAUCAGCGACGAGCCGCUCUACACGGCCGAACAGGUGAUCGAGGAGAUCGAGGAGAUGAUGCAGGAGUCUCCAGACCCCGAGGACGACGAGAGUCCCUCACAGUCCGACCUCUCCAUGCUCUCUCAGGACUUCCACACCCUGAAACGCUCGGGCUCCAACACCAGCUACGAGGACCGGCUGCGUCAGCUGUCUGUGUCUGAGCUGACGGAGACUCUGGAGGAAGUGGAGACGGCCAUUCGCCGCUACAGUGAGGAGCUGAUCCAGGCUCUGGCCCUGCGAGACGAACUGGACUAUGAAAAGGAGGUGAAGAACAGCUUCAUCUCGCUGUUGAUCGACGUGCAGAACAGACAGAAGGAGCACCGCGAUCUGCUGCGGAAGAAGAAGAAAAUCAGGAGUACGACUACGAUCGGGCCCAACGGCCAGAGGACCGCCAGCACGCACAUACCAGGCACGCUCCUCACUCUUGAGGGACUCUCCAAUGUCAUUCAAAAUGGCCUCCGUCAAACUUUUGGCAACACAGGAGGGGACAAACAGCUACCGCUGGCGUUUGGUGUCACAUUACUUAACCACAGUAAUCCCUUAUGAGAAGAAAGCUGGCUCCCCGGCAGUAGAUGACCUCCAGAUCCUCACAAAGAUCCUCCACGCCAUGAGGGACGACAGUGAGAAGGUACCUGCUCUGCUAACAGACUACAUUCUCAAAGCUCUGGUAUGAGAGCGGUGGAAACUGAGUGCUUUGUCCCACGUAAAGCCAAAAGUGAGCCUCCUGUUUCCAGAACCAUUCGUUGGACCAUCAGAAGAGGGUUCUGGUCAUCUGGAAGAUAACGGAUUCAAAAAAAAAUCCUUCUUUCCUCCAUAUCUUUCAUCACAUUGACUUUCUUUCCUUGUGGCAUUUUUUUUUACUCUGCCACUGUUGUUGCUCCCAAGAUUUUAACUCUAGUUAUAACUCCUUGCUCUUUAUAGUUCUUUUCAUAUGUAAUGUUUUAACUUUUAAUGCCUGAGUGCUACAACCCUGUAUAUACUGAUAACUUGUCUGUGGAUGCCAGUAAUCAGUAUUAGUCACUUCCUGAUCGGCCAGUGGCUCUUGAACGGAGCAGGGUCGUCUGCAUGCCUCUGCGAGGGAAAUGCAGUCCAAUCCGUCUGUGUUGUAAAGCCAAUGCGUUUGCAUCAGCGUGGCUCAUGCCUGACGGCGGAAACAAAUCCUGGCAGAGUCUUUGAAGUGCCAGGCUGGUUGUGGCAUCGAGCUUAAAUCCUGUUUUCCCCUUUAUGGAAACCUUUGCUUUAAUGGCCGAUUGAUUGCAUAUAAUGUCUUGGGGUUGAGAAGAAUUAAAGAGCAAACCCUUUCAUUUUAAAAUUCAAAAUAAGUCGAUCGCUAUUUGCAUGUUUGUUUUGGGUUUACUCUCAAUUUUGGCUGUUAGUUGAAUGUUAAAAUGAAAUAUUUUGUAUACGAUUUAAGAGAAA